CUCACCUCUGUGUGCUUUUGUUGACACCACAUUUAGCAAAGGGACAAACGUCUACUGGUCUGAUGUAGGCUGUCGAAUCGUCUCUCAAAACUUCACUCAUGUGGUUUGCUCCUGCCAGCAUAUGACCAACUUUGCCGUCGUUAUGAGCAGGUUUGAAAAUAGAGAUGAUGACCCAAUACUGACCUGGAUGACCAAGAUAGGAAUUUACAUAUCACUUAGCAGC